UACGUAGGUGGCAAGCGUUGUCCGGAUUUAUUGGGUUUAAAGGGUGCGUAGGUGGUUCCAUAAGUCAGUGGUGAAAUACGGCAGCUUAACUGUCGAGGUGCCAUUGAUACUGCGGAACUUGAGUACAGACGAGGUAGGCGGAAUUGACGGUGUAGCGGUGAAAUGCUUAGAUAUCGUCAAGAACACCGAUAGCGAAGGCAGCUUACUAGACUGUAACUGACACUGAGGCACGAAAGUGUGGGGAUCAAAC
rnacentral:rRNA from 1 species